UACGGAGGGGGCGAGCGUUAUUCGGAAUUAUUGGGCGUAAAGGGCGCGUAGGCGGCUUUGCAAGUCAAAGGUGAAAUCCCUCGGCUCAACUGAGGAACUGCCUUUGAAACUGUGAGGCUUGAGUCCGGGAGGGGGUAGCGGAAUUCCCAGUGUAGCGGUGAAAUGCGUAGAUAUUGGGAGGAACACCAGUGGCGAAGGCGGCUACCUGGACCGGAACUGACGCUGAUGCGCGAAAGCGUGGGUAGCAAACAGG
rnacentral:rRNA from 1 species